rnacentral:rRNA from 1 species
GAUGAACGCUGGCGGCGUGCCUAAUACAUGCAAGUCGAGCGAACAGACGAGGAGCUUGCUCCUCUGACGUUAGCGGCGGACGGGUGAGUAACACGUGGAUAACCUACCUAUAAGACUGGGAUAACUUCGGGAAACCGGAGCUAAUACCGGAUAAUAUAUUGAACCGCAUGGUUCAAUAGUGAAAGACGGUUUUGCUGUCACUUAUAGAUGGAUCCGCGCCGCAUUAGCUAGUUGGUAAGGUAACGGCUUACCAAGGCAACGAUGCGUAGCCGACCUGAGAGGGUGAUCGGCCACACUGGAACUGAGACACGGUCCAGACUCCUACGGGAGGCAGCAGUAGGGAAUCUUCCGCAAUGGGCGAAAGCCUGACGGAGCAACGCCGCGUGAGCGAUGAAGGUCUUCGGAUCGUAAAACUCUGUUAUUAGGGAAGAACAAAUGUGUAAGUAACUGUGCACAUCUUGACGGUACCUAAUCAGAAAGCCACGGCUAACUACGUG